UACAGAGGUCUCAAGCGUUGUUCGGAUUCAUUGGGCGUAAAGGGUGCGUAGGCGGCGCGGUAAGUCGGGUGUGAAAUCUCGGAGCUUAACUCCGAAACUGCAUUCGAUACUGCCCGUGCUUGAGGACUGGAGAGGAGACUGGAAUUUACGGUGUAGCGGUGAAAAUGCGUAGAUAUCGGGAGGAACACCCGUAGCGAAGGCGGCACUCUGGGCCGGUACUGACGCUGAGGAGCGAAAGCGUGGGGGAGCAAACAGG
rnacentral:rRNA from 1 species